ACUCCAGCCCCACCCGAUCUAACUCCCCAGACCCCACCUCAGACCCCCCGCCUCCGUCUCCGGCGAUCGGACGACCCGAACGGCCCUCCCACUUGGCAAUCUUCCCUGUUUCCUCUCCGGACAGUCAACCGGACUAUCCAGUAUUGGCCAUUUUCUGCAUCUGAUCUUUACAAUUGGAAAACUCAUAACCCUUCCUUUUCCCAAGAACCCCAGGCCCUAACCUCACUGAUAGAAUCUAUCCUCCUCACACACCAGCCCACCUGGGACGACUGCCAGCAGCUCCUACAGGUCCUUUUGACUACAGAGGAAAGGCAACAAGUUCUCCUGGAGGCUUUCCAACCCAGCUCCCCAACGAAAUAGAUGAGGGGUUUCCCCUCACCCGCCCGGACUGGGACUAUGAAACGGCUCCAGGUAGGAGACUCCGUGUAAGUCCGGCGGCACCGCUCUCAAGGAUUGGAGCCUCGUUGGAAGGGACCUUACAUCGUCCUGCUGACCACGCCCACCGCCAUAAAGGUUGACGGGAUUGCCGCCUGGAUUCACGCAUCGCACGCCAAAGCAGCCCCAAAAACCCCUGGACCAGAAACUCCCAAAACCUGGAAGCUCCACCGUUCGGAGAACCCUCUUAAGAUAAGACUCUCCCGUGUCUGACUGCUAAUCCACCCUGUCCCUGCACGAACCCAAAAUGAAACCCCCAGCAGGAAUGGUCUUUCUGUGGGUCCUCACAAGCUUGGGGGCGGGAAUUGGAGCUAAAAUUGUCAAAGAGGGGAACCCACAUCAGGUUUACACCUUGACUUGGCAAAUCUACUCCCAGAGUGGGGAAGUUGUCUGGGAGGUCCAAGGUAACCAUGCGCUUAACACUUGGUGGCCCCCACUUACCCCUGAUUUUUGCCAGCUGGCAGCUGGACUAGACACUUGGGAUAUCCCCCUGGUUUACCACUUUAGUCUCCUCCCUCAUGGGCCCCUUAAUACUCCUACUAUUAAUACUGGUGUUCGGACCCUGCAUCCUUAACCGCUUGGUACAGUUCAUAAGAGAAAGACUCUCUGUCAUCCAGGCCUUGGUUCUAACCCAACAGUACCACCAACUAAGACAAUUUGAUGCAGAAAGGCCAGAUACAA